rnacentral:siRNA from 1 species
AUAAAUCAUGGAGUUGUGACUUAU